rnacentral:rRNA from 1 species
UUCCAGACUCCUACGGGAGGCAGCAGUGGGGAAUAUUGCACAAUGGGGGAAACCCUGAUGCAGCGACGCCGCGUGAGUGAAGAAGUAUUUCGGUAUGUAAAGCUCUAUCAGCAGGAAAGAAAAUGACGGUACCUGACUAAGAAGCCCCGGCUAACUACGUGCCAGCAGCCGCGGUAAUACGUAGGGGGCAAGCGUUAUCCGGAUUUACUGGGUGUAAAGGGGGCGCAGACGGCAGCGCAAGCCAGGAGUGAAAGCCCGGGGCCCAACCCCGGGACUGCUCUUGGAACUGCGCGGCUGGAGUGCAGGAGGGGCAGGCGGAAUUCCUGGUGUAGCGGUGAAAUGCGUAGAUAUCAGGAGGAACACCGGUGGCGAAGGCGGCCUGCUGGACUGCGACUGACGUUGAGGCCCGAAAGCGUGGGGAGCAAACAGGAUUAGAUACCCCCGUAGAA